rnacentral:rRNA from 1 species
GGCGGCGUGCCUAAUACAUGCAAGUCGAAUGGUAGCAAUACCAUGGCGAACGGGUGAGUAACACGUAGGUAACCUGUCUUUAAGCCGAGGAUAACCAUUGGAAACGAUGGAUAAUACUGGAUAGGACAUUUGAAGGCAUCUUUAGAUGUUUAAAGAUUUAUCACUUAGAGAGGGGCCUGCGGCGCAUUAGCUAGUUGGUGAGGUGAAGGCUUACCAAGGCGAUGAUGCGUAGCCGGACUGAGAGGUUGAACGGCCACAAUGGAACUGAGAACGGUCCAUACUCCUACGGGAGGCAGCAGUAGGGAAUUUUCGGCAAUGGGCGGAAGCCCUGACCGAGCAACGCCGCGUGAACGAAGAAGUAUUUCGGUAUGUAAAGUUCUUUUAUUAGGGACGAAAAGACAGAUUGACGGUACCUAAUGAAUAAGCUCCGGCUAACUACGUGCCAGCCGCGGC